rnacentral:rRNA from 1 species
GACGAACGCUGGCGGCGUGCUUAGCACAUGCAAGUCGAACGGAAAGGCCCUGCUUUUGUGGGGUGCUCGAGUGGCGAACGGGUGAGUAACACGUGAGUAACCUGCCCUUGACUUUGGGAUAACUUCAGGAAACUGGGGCUAAUACCGGAUAGGAGCUCCUGCUGCAUGGUGGGGGUUGGAAAGUUUCGGCGGUUGGGGAUGGACUCGCGGCUUAUGAGCUUGUUGGUGGGGUAGUGGCUUACCAAGGCUUUGACGGGUAGCCGGCCUGAGAGGGUGACCGGCCACAUUGGGACUGAGAUACGGCCCAGACUCCUACGGGAGGCAGAAGUGGGGAAUAUUGCACAAUGGGCGGAAGCCUGAUGCAGCAACGCCGCGUGCGGGAUGACGGCCUUCGGGUUGUAAACCGCUUUCGCCUGUGACGAAGCGUGAGUGACGGUAAUGGGUAAAGAAGCACCGGCUAACUACGUG